rnacentral:rRNA from 1 species
UGAGGAAUAUUGGUCAAUGGGCGGGAGCCUGAACCAGCCAAGUCGCGUGAAGGAAGAAGGAUCUAUGGUUCGUAAACUUCUUUUGCAGGGGAAUAAAGUGCAGGACGUGUCCUGUUUUGUAUGUACCCUGAGAAUAAGGAUCGGCUAACUCCGUGCCAGCAGCCGCGGUAAUACGGAGGAUCCGAGCGUUAUCCGGAUUUAUUGGGUUUAAAGGGUGCGUAGGUGGUUUGAUAAGUCAGCGGUGAAAGUUUGCAGCUUAACUGUAAAAGUGCCUUCGAUACUGGCCUCCUUGAGUGUGGAUGAAGUAGGCGGAAUUUGUGGUGUAGCGGUGAAAUGCUUAGAUAUCACGAGGAGCUCCGAUUGCGCAGGCAGCUUACUAAGCUACAACUGACACUGAAGCACGAAAGCGUGGGGAUCAAACA